UUUGUCAAAAAAUGAAACAUUCAUUUCUCACCCGAGAAGCAAAGCAGCAGCAAGACAGAUCUUUGAGGUUCUGAAAUGGAAAUGGGUUGUUGACCUAAUUUUGGUGGAGCUAAUCAAUUUCAAAGAAGGGGAUUUGAGGCAAGAAUACGGGAAUUGUAGAUACAGAAAUUUGGGGAUUUUCGGAGUACAAAGGCAUGAGCGGUGAUUCAAUUGACUUGACUUAGCGCCUGCAGAAUGAGUUUGAUUGUGAACUGGUGAUGCUCAAAGAAUCUCUUCUCAAUCAAUUUGAUGUUGAUGUAUGGGGUUCUCGAUUUGCUAGUGGUCUUGAUAGCGAAUUAGGUCUGAGUUUUGGGGGUUCGAAGUUAAAUGAUGAUGAGUACUUGUUUAGUGGAUCUGUGGUUUAAAGUAUUGAAGGGUCCUUACUGUGAAUUUUGGUCCGAACAAGAAGAGAUUAACAGCAACAACGUUUCAGCAGGCGAUGAAGUUGGCUGAAUAGGUUUGAUGUUAAUGGAAUGGAAGCUGGGGGUUUCUCGGUGGUUGAUUACUUGCAGUUUUGUUUCAAUUCGUACAAGGAGGUGCAGACUGUGGCCGGAGUUGGAUGCUAUUGCCUGACUUUGAAAGGGCCUGAAUUAAGAAAGUGGAGGCUGUGAUUGGACUGGGCUUUGGUGGUCGCUGUCACUAAUACAAGAGAAGAACUAGAGUGCUAUUUAAGGAGGAAUGAGGAGAAGAAAAGGGACGCCGUUAUCAGGGAAGAAACUAGGUUUUGCUAUUUUGCUUUCUGCAAUUCAUAUGCUUUACUUGUUAUUAUCUAUAUUAUUUUUGAUGGCUUUUAAGAAAACCAUGUCUAGCUAAACUCCUCAUUAGGGUGAAAGAUGAACUUGUAGGUUGAAUUUACUUGUGUUCUCAAACAAUGGUUUUAAAAAUAAAAGAUUAACGUCAUGUUUGUGUUUCUCAAGAUUGGGUUGUUUUUUUAAUGAGUUUUUCAUGUUUUAUGCCAUGUAUAUUUCAUAGUUGGAUUCUUGAACAACAUCCAUAUAGAACAUUGGUGAUAAAUGAUUUAUGAUUAGUGCUUAGGAUUUCUACCUUCUAGGUUGAGAACAAACGUAUCCUCUUGAUAAUCCUUAUCUACUGUUCUUAAUUGAAAUAUCUUCCGUGUUUCGAUAGCUAGGUUUGCUAUUGUUCAUGAGUUAAAUGAGACCUUUGUGAGAGACAUAAGUGAAAUUUUAGCCUACAACGGAUUCCAUAACCCUAAUAUUUCUACAUCCUUGAUUACAUAUCAUUAUAAAUUUGCUUUAUUUUACUUGACAUCUUAUUUUCUUAAUACAACAUCUCUGAAAUAUUGAAUUUUGGUUAGUUCGGUCUUGAUAUUAAUUAGUAGUAGUUUUCGCACUCCUUGAGGGAACGAACCGUGCUUGCUAUUGUGUGCUGUUUUUGACACCGUGCACUUGCGGUAAAACAAAGUCGGUCUACCGAUCCAUCAAGUUUUUGGCGCCGCUGCCGGGGAGUGGUUGCAUAAUACUCUCUAAUUGAUUCUUUUUGUAUAUUGCUUAUUUUUAUAUUAUUUUGUACAUAGUUUGUUUUUAUUUUUCAUUUUUUUUUUACGUAGCUUGUUUGAUUAUCUUUAGGUACUUUAGCUUGAAGAGCGCAACUGGAAUCUCUCGAAAAUAGGCAGAAAAGUAAGUAUUUCGCUGAGCUUUUGCAAGGUGAGUUUGAACUGAAUUCUGCAUUUUGUUAGAUUUCACAAGAUCUACCUAGUGGUUGGGUAGAGAAUUGUUUAAAUCGUCUUGUUAGAGUUAACUCUUUAUACAUGACGGGAACGAAUGGUGAGGGUACGAACCCUCCGAUUAAAAAUUUGAGAGACUAUAUGUAUCCAACUAGAGUCUCUCAACUUUCUUGUAUUGUUUUGCUUACCACCACAACAACCUAUGAGAUUAGAGCAAGAACCAUUCAAGCACUUCCUAAAUUUUAUGGCGAGGAGAAUGAAAAUCCUUACUACCACAUUAGAUAUUUGAAGAAUUCUGUGGAACAAUAUAAUUCAAGGACUUAGCUGAUGAGUAUCUUAAGCUUAGGUUGUUCCAUUUUUCGUUAAAGGAUAAGGCUAAAUCUUGGCUAAAUGCGUUAGCUCCUUCAUCAAUUAGUACCUGGAAUGACAUGACUAAUAUAUUCUUGUAUAAAUUCUUUCCUAGGCAUAAAACUACUGCCAUUCGUCAAAAACUGUAUAGUUUUUCGCAACAAGAAGGAGAAUCUCUUUAUGAUUAUUUAGAGAGGUUCCAUGAUCUCUUGUUACAAUGUCCACACCAUGGGUUUGACACUCCUAGGCUCACGUUGAUCCUUUAUGAGGGAUUAGAUUACAAAACAUUGACUAUGGUAGAAUCACUUUGUGGUGGUAAUUUUUCCGAUAAAAGUGCUGAAGAAGGUUAUAAAUUUUUGCAUGAAGUAGCUGAAAAAGCCCAAGAGUGGGAGGCUACAGAAACCAUAAGAUCAGUAACUAGUAGCAAUGGGGUUCACAGAGUUGACAAUGACUUCGAGGCCAAGUUCGCUGGUUUGACACGAAGACUUGAGUCGUUAGAAAGAAAGGCUAAAAUUAAGCCUGUUGAUUUUAUUACACAUCCAUCUUCUAUUUCUAGCGUUUUUCUAACCAAAGUAUUCCUAGUUUGGAAGAAAGCAUGAGCUUGUUUGUGCAGAAUACUCAAAGAUCUAUGGCGAACUUAGAGCAUCAACUAGACCAGCUUGCUAGCCAACUGAAUGAGCGGGAGAAGGAUCAGAUUUCGCGUCAAAUCCAGCCCAACUCCAAGGGUCCUUUGAGGUAAGCACAUCUGGUGCUAAGCCGACUCAUCAUGUCCAGGACUACUCUACUCUAAGAAGUGGACGGAUCGUUGAUAACCAUGUUAGUGAUCCUGAGGAGAACGAGUAAGUUAGGAACCCGCCUGCCAUUAAACAGGUAACUCCUUCAACACCAAAGGAAACGAAUGAAACCGAGAAAGGUAAAUCUGAAAUUUCAUUGAUCCAUCUAGUAGUUCUCAGAAUGCUUGUAUGAGGAUUGAGUAUAUGGAUACUGGUCAGGUAAUUCACAAUGACAAAAUGGAACAGAAGUUUGUUUGUCUAGAUCUUGAUGCCAACUCCGAUUAUCUCAUGCUUGCUGAAAAUUUUAGUACAUUGCCGCUACUGAUCUCUAGUGAAAGUAAUGUGUCCAGUGGAGUUAUUUCAACAUGCUUAGGGGCAAAUUUAGGGUAUAAGACAAGUGUUGACAUGUCUAAACAUCAUUUGCAUGUUAUGCUUAUAUCUGAGUUGUUUCACAUGACCAGAUGGGCAGGUUGGAAUUAUAGUCCUUUUAAUUGCAGGGUUGAUAUCAAUUUGUUUAUUACUGUGGGAUUUAAUCCUUAUUGUUGUAUGAUCCUCUUUUUAGUGGACUUCGUGUGUUGGGUUGAUCCCCAACUUUUCAGGCUUUACAUAUAUGCUGGCAGGUUGCUGUUAUGCAUCAAUCUUCACUUUGUUUGAGACUACGUUGGAUGACUCAAUUACAUUGAGGACAAUGUAAAGUUCAAGUAUGGGGGAGUGCUUAAGUAUAUAUAGAUUUUUGGUAGGAAUUUAAUUUCGUUAUGAAUUUUCUUCAAAAAAAAAGUAUAUUUAUAAAGAAAAAAGGGAUCAGUUUUGUGAAGACAAGACCAGCUGUUGAGCGGGUCUUAAAAAUUCACUUUUUGCGCAACAUGACCAGCUGUUGAGCGGGUCUUAAAAAAUUUUCUUUUGUACAACAUGACCAGCUGUUGAGCUGGUCAUUCUGAUUAUCAGUCUCGCUGUUUAGCAGACUUCUUUAAGCCACUGUUUAGUGGUUUCGUCUUGCUGUUUAGCAGACACUUCUCAACCACUGUUUAGUGGUUUGUCUUGCUGUUUAGCAGACAUCUCCCCAUCUCCUAUUUUAUCCAGCUGUUGAGCAGAUACCCCUAUCUCCUAUAUUAUCCAGCUGUAGAGCGGAUUUUUGUUUUGUUUUGCUCUGGACUAGCAAAAUAUAAGUGUGGGGGAAUCUGAUAAGCACGCAAGUGCGACACUUUUAUACCCGCAUUUAUACUAGCUAGGUCUCGAUAUUUAUCUAAUAAUAUUGUUUUAAGUCAAUUACAGGAAUUACAAUUGAAAUCUGUUCACCCGGAGAAUAAUUGGAUAAACAAGGAUCUGAAUGGCGUUUCCGAAAACAAAGCCCAGGGCUCCAAAAGAGAUAAGGCCUAUGGUGAUCUGCCUUGUAUGCCCAUGCUGCUCAUGGCUCGAACCACUUGCUUAGCUGCAUCAUUUGACUGCCACGGCUGUAGUUCAGUAGAAGGAAGAAAUGUCACUAUACCAAGCAUGUGAGCCGCACGAGUGGGUCUAAGAAGAACAGAAGGCGUGGCUGCUUAUGCACCACAUUUUCUUAUCAUCAUCUUCUCGUCUUUGUCAAAAAAUGAAACAUUCAUUUCUCACCCGAGAAGCAAAGCAGCAGCAAGACAGAUCUGUGAGGUUCUGAAAUGGAAAUGGGUUGUUGACCUAAUUUUGGUGGAGCUAAUCAAUUUCAAAGAAGGGGAUUUGAGGAAAAAAUACAUGAACUGUAGCUAAAGACAUUUGGGGAUUUUCGGAGUGCAAAGGCAUGAGCGGUGAUUCAAUUGACUUGACUUAGCGCCUGCAGAAUGAGUUCGAUUGUGAACUGGUGAUGCUCAAGGCAUCUCUUCUCAAUCAAUUUGAUGUUGAUGUAUGGGGUUCUCGAUUUGCUAGUGGUCUUGAUAGCGAAUUAGGUAUGAGUUUUGGGGGUUCGAAGUUAAAUGAUGAUGAGUACUUGUUUACAUAUUAUUAUAAAUUUGCUUUAUUUUACUUGACAUCUUAUUUUCUUAAUACAACAUCUCUGACAUAUUGAAUUUUGGUUA